rnacentral:rRNA from 1 species
AACGAAGUUGCUCUUUGGGAAGCCCUCGGGUGGAACUGUGAGUAUACUUAGUGGCGGACGGGUGAGUAACGCGUGAGCAAUCUGCCCUGCAAUGGGGGACAACAGUUGGAAACGACUGCUAAUACCGCAUAAGACCACGAAACCGCAUGGUUUAGAGGUAAAAGGAUUCAUUCGAUGCAGGAUGAGCUCGCGUCCCAUUAGAUAGUUGGUGAGGUAACGGCCCACCAAGUCAACGAUGGGUAGCCGACCUGAGAGGGUGAUCGGCCACAUUGGAACUGAGAAACGGUCCAAACUCCUACGGGAGGCAGCAGUGGGGAAUAUUGGGCAAUGGGGGAAACCCUGACCCAGCAACGCCGCGUGAAGGUUGAAGGCCUUCGGGUUGUAAACUUUUGUCCUAUGGGACGAAAAAAAUGACGGUACCAUAGGAGGAAGCUCCGGCUAACUACGUGCCAGCAGCCGCGGUAAUACGUAGGGAGCAAGCGUUGUCCGGAAUUACUGGGCGUAAAGGGUGCGUAGGUGGCCAUGUAAGUCAGGUGUGAAAGACCGGGGCUCAACCCCGGGGUUGCACUUGAAACUGUGUGGCUUGAGUACAGGAGAGGGAAGUGGAAUUCCUAGUGUAGCGGUGAAAUGCGUAGAUAUUAGGAGGAACACCAGUGGCGAAGGCGACUUUCUGGACUGUAACUGACACUGAGGCACGAAAGCGUGGGGAGCAAACAGGAUUAGAUACCCUGGUAGUCCACGCCGUAAACGAUGGAUACUAGGUGUGGGGGGCGAUAGUCCUCCGUGCCGAAGCUAACGCAUUAAGUAUCCCGCCUGGGGAGUACGAUCGCAAGGUUGAAACUCAAAGGAAUUGACGGGGGCCCGCACAAGCAGCGGAGCAUGUGGUUUAAUUCGAAGCAACGCGAAGAACCUUACCAAGGCUUGACAUCCUCUGACGCAUAUAGAGAUAUAUGUUCCCUUCGGGGCAGAGAGACAGGUGGUGCAUGGUUGUCGUCAGCUCGUGUCGUGAGAUGUUGGGUUAAGUCCCGCAACGAGCGCAACCCUUGUUGCUAGUUGCCAGCACGUAAAGGUGGGAACUCUAGUGAGACUGCCGGGGACAACUCGGAGGAAGGUGGGGACGACGUCAAAUCAUCAUGCCCCUUAUGUCUUGGGCUACACACGUGCUACAAUGGCCGGUACAAAGGGCAGCGACCUCGUAAGUAAGAGUAAGCGAAUCUCAAAAAAGCCGGCCCCAGUUCGGAUUGUGGGCUGCAACCCGCCCACAUGAAGUCGGAGUUGCUAGUAAUCGCGAAUCAGCAUGUCGCGGUGAAUGCGUUCCCGGGCCUUGUACACACCGCCCGUCACACCACGGAAGUUGGGAGCACCCGAAGCCAGUGGCUUAACCGUAAGGAGAGCUGUCGAAGGUAGAUCAAUGACUGGGGUCGAAGUCGUAACAAGGUAGCCG